rnacentral:piRNA from 1 species
GGGAAAAUCAAAACUUUAAACUGG